ensembl:lncRNA
UUUCAGCACACAGAGCACACAGACAAGAAUGCAAAGUUGAUGUUGUGGUCUCUUCUGGAGAAGCAGGGGGUGCAGCCCUUCUCUUGGUGGGGUGAACAGGGGCAUCCCUCUUGCAAUGUGAGAAGUGCCUGCAGUGGGCACCAGGCCCUUCAAAAUCAUUGCUUCCCCCCAGGGGGAUGUAAAUGCUUCCCCUCCACCCACAGCUUCUUAAAAUGAAACAAAGCCAUCAGAUACAAGAGAAGGAUCUGCACUGCGCAUUGAUGGAGGUGGAGAGCUUUUGGGGCCAACACAGCAGACAACAGAGAGGGUCCAAACAGCCACCUGCUGCCAGCAGCUAACCACAAGCGAGAUUUCUGUUUGCAAAAAUAAAGCAGUCUUUCUG